CGUAGGGGGCGAGCGUUGUCCGGAUUUACUGGGCGUAAAGAGCGCGUAGGCGGAUGUUUAAGUGUGGCCUCAAAGCCCCCGGCUCAACCGGGGAUCUGGGUUGCAAACUGGGCAUCUUGAGGGGGAUAGAGGAGAGUCGGAAUUCCUGGUGUAGCGGUGAAAUGCGUAGAUAUCAGGAGGAACACCCGUGGCGAAGGCGGCUCUCUGGGUCCGCCCUGACGCUGAGGCGCGAAAGCGUGGGGAGCGAACGGGAUUAGAUACCCCGGUAGUCCACGCCGUAAACGAUGAUCACUAGGUGUGUGCGGUAUCGACCCCGCACGUGCCGCAGCUAACGCAAUAAGUGAUCCGCCUGGGGAGUACGGCCGCAAGGUUG
rnacentral:rRNA from 1 species